rnacentral:rRNA from 1 species
GAUGAACGCUAGCGGGAGGCCUAACACAUGCAAGCCGAGCGGUAUUGUUUCUUCGGAAAUGAGAGAGCGGCGUACGGGUGCGUAACACGUGUGCAACCUGCCUUUAUCUGGGGGAUAGCCUUUCGAAAGGAAGAUUAAUACUCCAUAACAUAUUGAACGGCAUCGUUUAAUAUUGAAAGCUCCGGCGGAUAGAGAUGGGCACGCGCAAGAUUAGCUAGUUGGUGAGGUAACAGCUCACCAAGGCGAUGAUCUUUAGGGGGCCUGAGAGGGUGAUCCCCCACACUGGUACUGAGACACGGACCAGACUCCUACGGGAGGCAGCAGUGAGGAAUAUUGGUCAAUGGGUGCAAGCCUGAACCAGCCAUCCCGCGUGAAGGACGACUGCCCUAUGGGUUGUAAACUUCUUUUGUAUAGGGAUAAACCUACCCUCGUGAGGGUAGCUGAAGGUACUAUACGAAUAAGCACCGGCUAACUCCGUGCCAGCAGCCGCCGUAA